UUGGGGAUUUCCGCCUAAAUCCCGCCCAUUUCUGAAAUCCCGCCUACUUGCGGCGUAAGUUGCCUCCCACUCUGAACUAAGUCCCUCCCACUCGGUAGUAAGUACCUCCCACUCUGAGAUAAGUACCUUCCACUCGGAGGUCUCCAGGCUGCAGCGAUAUAUACAGAAUCAAGCGAAGGAAAUCGUAAAGGAGGAGGGGAAUUCAUACAUGCGUCAGGUUUUUCGACAAGAAACACUUCCGCAUAGGAUAUCUGUGUAUCAACUGUCCUAGCCCUUCUGGAAACUUCCUCACCUCCUCACAGUGCAACUAAAUAAAUGAUUUGUUCUUCAAGAUGGCGGACAUCGAUCGAUUUCCGGGUCACUGUCUUUGUUUUAUUCCUCAGGGAGGCUCUACCUGUUGCUUUGGUCUUCAACACCUACUUGCACCACCUGCUGGUCAGGCGGACUAGCAGCAGUCUGCAGGAAAUACAUCCAUCCCAUGUACCGCUUAUUCCACACAGGGUCAUGGGGGAGCCUGGAGCCUGUCCCAGGGACCUCUGAGCACAAGGCGGGGGACACCCUAGAUGGAGUGCCAACUAUCAAUUCACUUCAAUUUUAUUUGUAUAUCGCUUUUAACAACAGACAUUGUCGCAAAGCAGCUUUACAGAAACAUUUCAACACGGGAUACAGAUUUUAAACCUGUGAAUUUAUCCCAAUUGAGCAAGCCCAUGGUGACGGUGGUAAGGAAAAAGUCCCUAAGAUGUUAAGAGGAAGAAACCUUGAGAGGAAUCAGAUUCAGAAGGGAACCCAUCCUCAUCUGGGUAACAAUGGAUAGUAUAAAAAAUUAAAGGAAGUUCAUUAUGGUUUUAUAUGAAGUCUGUUUAACCCAUCGCAGUGCACAAUCGCGCACACAUUCACACACUACGGACAAUUUAGAGAUGACCAUCGGCCUACAACGCACGUCUCUGGAGCGGGGGAGGAAACCAGAGUACCUGGAGGAAACCCCCAAAGCACGUGAAGAACACACAAACUCCGGAUACACAGGACAGAGGUAGGAAUUGAACCCCCAACCCUGGAGGUGCCAGGCAAAAUGUUGUAACCACUAAGCCAACGUGCCCCCUGCAAGAAAUCCUUUCUAAUGAAAUCAGACACUGGUGAAGAAAAAAAAAAAAAAAAGUCUUACUGCAGCAUUAUUUUAUUGUUUUUGAAAACACUUCUCAAACAUCUGUAGGUUUCAAGUAAUGCUUUUUCACAGCUUCAUACAUAGGUAUGAGUCAGUUACAGUAAAAAAAAAAAAACCUAACAAAGUUACAGUACUGAAAAGAUGCAUUUUGUGGGUUGUGAUGUUUCAGACAUACAGGAACAUUUCUACUUGUAGAGCACUGAAUAACACACAUGUAAUAGAUUUUUCAGUAAAGACAUACACAGCUGUUUAAGAACACUGCCUCUCCAGUGUUGUAAAAUAAAAAAGUGCUUCACUUCAUUUGAGGUUAUGAAGAAACGGCAUGUCCGAUACCGUGCGUUAAAACUGAGCAUGUUGCAACACGGUUUGUGUUAUUCCAUAAUGUUAAAACUUAUCACAGGUGAAAUAAUGCUGUCACAGUCAGCACUGCUUGCAGUAUGUAUGUAUGCUGGAUGAAAUGUUAUAGUACAAGUCUAACAUGACCACACUUGAAAAUAAUGACAACACCUUUGGCAUCAGAACAUGGCACAAGACACCAAUCAUACGAAUGAUGGAAGAGACACACAAGCGUAUAUACAUACAAAAACAUGUAAAGUAUAAUUUACUCGUCUACAUAACAGCAAUCCAAAGAAACAAAUACAUCAGUGCCCUGAAGAGAGUUAAAUGAAACAGUUGUAUUUUGACAGCUCUCGGUACCUGGAUAUUCAAAGUCUUUCUGUCCAGUUAAAAAAAAAAAGUAUAUAAAAUGUAACCAUAUGAAUGUAAAUUCUGAGAUGGUCUUUGAUUUUCUCUGGUGGAUGAAAUGAGGUUGUUGCAAUAGUCUGCUCGGUUGGCUCAGGUCUCACAGAGACACACAGGUUCACAAGCAGACCUUUUUCAAGAAUUCCAGUGGUUUAGUUGUUGGGAAAUGAAUCGUCAAGUUAACCUUUAGAGGAGGUGUUCCCAAAGUCUUCUACAUAUAAUUCACCACGACAUGGUGAAGCAGACAGGAUCCAAGCAGGCCCAUCAGUGUUGUUCUUCCCCUCUUUCUCUUAAUUGGACGCAUUAUCCAAAUAUACGAACAGCUAACAUUGAAUGAAAGCUGGUAAAGCCAGUUAGCAAACUUUUAUUUGCAUAAUGUUAACUCGUCCCCAGUGAACUCUUAUUGAUUAUUAGCCAUGUAUGUUUUGGCGAUUCCUUAGAAGCACAUAGUCGAUGAUUUGUACAAGAUUUGAAAAGCUGCCAUUUGAUUGCUUCUCAGAAGACACUGAUGUUACAGUGGUACCAUUAAUCUCAAACACGACUGCUGGAGCCAACUGUUCCGUCACAAGCUGAGGAAAGCUUGUUCGUCGGCCGAGAUCUCAGAGUCUUCUCUUUCCAUCUCCAUCUCUCCACCACUGUGGGCUGCAGUGUUCUUCCUCUUCACCUGCCGGUGGGUGGAGCCACAGGGUCUCUGCAUGGGCACCAGUAGACGGAAGCCGGGUGAGGCGGGCACUGACGCUGGUGCCAGGCUGACUGGGGAGAGAUGGCAGGGCACCAGGGAGGAAGAAGAGGCAGUGGAAGGACUGCUGCUCUGGACAGAAGAGUACCCUGAGCUGUGGAGGUUGAUACGGAGAGGGCGUUUGGAGGAAAAGGAAGCGCAGGAGGCAGAAGGCUCACUCACACUGUCCUCAUCACUAGAAAGAGCACUGCAGUGCAGCAGGACAUCAGUAGACUGCACACACAGUGGUAGCUGGACUGAGAAGACAGAGACUGUGGAAACAAAAAAACAUUCUCCAUUACUCUUAACUAUUAGAAAAUCCCAACGAGCAAAGUGACUGGACAUUUGAUUUAGUUUGUGUGAUAUAUUUCUUGGUAGAAUCUAGAAAGUCCUAGAGGAUGGGUUUGUUGUAUAAUCUAUUACAACUCAAUUGUAAAAGCAGAUCACAACAUCGCUUCAGUAGCACAAUAACUAUUCUCACACACACUUAACAGGCAAGUUGGUUUAAAAUGUUUUAUUGAUGUGUUUCAAGUCCAUAAUGUAUGCUGUGUUUCCUCUGAAUAAAAAUAAAUAAAUAAAUAAAUAAAUACAUACAUAAUUUAAAAAAAAAACAAAACAUAAAUAACACAUGGUAAAAAGGAUAGCUGUAACACAUUCAUUUAGGGCUGGAUGAUGACAAAAAUAUCACGAUACUUGAGGACAUUUCUACGAUACACAAUGCGCAUCAUGGUAUAUAUAAUUUAGCUAAAACUGCAUAAACAAUAAACGCUUAACUGAGGUUGACAAUACUUUUGUUUAAUGCCUACAAUGACAAAGAUCAUUAAGUUUUUUCCAUUCUGUAUCAUUUCAUUUGUAACUUUUAUAAAUAUUUUUUAAAAAUGUUUAAAGCAUCACCAUCCAACAAUAUCUCAGAAAAGUGUAUCACAAAAUUAUUGAUCAUGAACCCUAAUUUCAUUCACAAAAAAAACCCUCCACUAAACUUACAGUUCUGUUGUCUACUCUUUUGUGCUAUUUGUACUUCUAUAUUUGGACAAUAUGUACUUCGUAUUUCUACUUUUAGUUUCUCCUCCAGUGGCAUUUUGGUAUAUAUAUAUAAAAAAAAAGGACGACAGAGGAAAUAAUCCACCUCGUUCACUUUCAUUACACCUGCAACUGUAUUUCUUCCCAAUCACUGCUGAUGUAGCGUUAAAGAUGUGUCAGCAAAGUGGGCUGAAAAUAUAUCGGCUCAAAUUGAGAUCAAAUCUAUGUGGCUUUCCACUCCGGGUAAAUGUCUGGCAUGGCCGUCAGAGCUGGGCUAUACGUGUAUAUAGUCUGAGAUACAUAGAAUUCAGCCCCAGCUUUGCGUCUUCAUAUAAUUCUGUGUAUAUAUUUCUUAUGAUCUUUGGUGGCGCUGUUGCAAAAGCGUCAAACAACCCACCUUAAGACGUUUGUUAGCAACAGAUAAUCUGAUGAUUGCAAAAGUGAAAAGCGCUGUAUUGAGGGUUUUUAAAAUCUCUGAAAAGGGGACGUAACAAUGCUAACCCAUUUAUUCCUGCUGCUCCUGCCUGUACAGUAGAAUCGAUAAAAUCCUUAGCAGCAUGGCUUAAAAUGCAUACAAUAAUGCUUAAAAUGUAUAUAAUAAAGUAUGGUACUGUAACAAGACCCCAUUUAUUUACUCACCUUCACACUCUUUCUCUCCAUCACUGUCCUGAUCUCCCUCAUAGCCUGAGCAGGAAGCAUCAAGGCUCCAGUCUAGGAUGUCACCCACAAGGGUUUCCUCUUGAUUGGAUAGCUCAGCUGUGGGAGUGGCCACAAAGCUGCCUCGAUGGAUUUGGGCCAAGACGCAUCACGUGACAUCAACGAAACACAUUCAGGUAAAGCCCUCUUCGAUUGAUGUGGAUCGAACACGAGUACAGCUACAAGCUCUCAUUUACCAACAAAUGUCACUGAGGAAGACUGUGCAAAACUAUUUCAUGCAAGUGUCAUUUCGCCAAGUCAAAUUUUACACAAAAAACGCCCAAAAACAACAACAACAAAAAAAACAGCGAAAAUCUGCACGGGCUGUCUAAAGGCAAGGUAGAAUUUGUUUGGUCUUCUGUGUAUUGCUGCUAAUAAGGACACCAUGCCUGCAGGCCUGCCAGCUUUCAAUUCAUUCUGCUGCUUUAAAUGUGAAAAUGAAAGGCCACGGAAAAAAUUAUUCACAGCUAACAAACAAUAAAAU